rnacentral:tRNA from 1 species
AGGGGCGGAUGUAGCCAAGUGGAUCAAGGCGGUGGAUUUGUGAACCCACCAUGCNNG